GAUGAAGAACGUAGCGAAAUGCGAUAAGUAUGUGAAUUGCAGAAUUCAGUGAAUCAUCGAAUCUUUGAACGCACCUUGCGCUCCUUGGUAUUCCGAGGAGCAUGCCUGUUUGAGUGUCAUUAAUAUAUCAACCUUCUCUUUUUUGAGUUGUUUGGAUGUGGGGGUUUGCUGGCCUCUUAAAUGAUUCAGCUCCCCUGAAAUGCAUUAGCAGAACAACCUGUUCAUUAGCGUGAUAAUUAUCUAUGCUAUUGAAUGUGAGGGCAGUUCAGCUUUCUAACCGUCCUUGGACAAUUCAUCAUUAAUGUGACCUCAAAUCAGGUAGGACUACCCGCUGAACUUAAGCAUAUCAAUAAGCGGAGGA
rnacentral:misc_RNA from 1 species